AGAGCAAGGUGCCCCCCCCCCGCCCCCCCCAACAUCCCUGCUGAGGCUGCCUCCCUGACAGAGCAAACCAGUGCUUAUGAGGCAGCUCCCAAUCAACUCUCUCUCUCUCCCUCUCAGAUGGACAGACAGGUGACCUGGCUUCCACUAUUCGCAAUAUCCCUUUGGGUCCCUGGUUCUGGUCUGCAGGAAUCCCUGUAUUAAAUGCCAUUCCUUGGCAGAAGAAGGAAUACCCCAGAAAUGACUGAUUUCCCAGGAUCGUGAAGAUCAGAGGCGGCAAAGAUGCACUGAGCACAGACAUCCUGGCUUUUACUCUGGUCUUGGCUGCUUACGAGCUGGUGACCCUGGAUGAGAAGACUGCAGCCCAGUCAUGGGACACGACUGCCCGAGCCUGCAGAGCUGGAAGGAGGGGGAGCCGAGGUUCCACCCUAGGCAUCUCGGUACCAAGACCUGAGCCCUUACCCGCUUCUCUAGUGAGUUUUGGAAUUCAAGAGGUUUGCAAGAAACUGUUCUAAACUGUUCGGAUAAAUGCAGAAUAUGACUUCCCCGUCGUGACUGGUGCACUCUGAAAGGUUUCACCUGGAGACACUCGGCGAGAAGCACACACAAGUAGUCAGCAGCGAGGAAGCUCAGCCAGAGCUCAGCCUUGUCACUUCAUAGAUACAGUAAGAGCCAGGGAAGCUUGCAAAAACAAUCAUCACAGGAUUUUUUAUAAUUUUCUGAGAUUUCAGGCUCUCCUGUUUCCCAAUCUGGGCAGUUUCAAAGGGUCUGCACAACACCAAAGGAGAAUAUUCCAGAGGCCUCUGUAAGGACACAGAGAAGUCACACACACCCAAAGCAUAAAGCCACCAAAAGGAGAGAAUGGUCAAGAAAACAGGUCACUUGCAAACCCUGGAAGAAGGUGAGAUGUGAACAGAAGCUGAAAUGAGGGCUUAGUUGAAGAUACUAGGUGAGCUGUGUGCUGCCUACUAGCUCCUCUCUGAGGACGAAGGUAUCUUUGUAUCAACUCCAAGCUCAGCAGGACAAACAACGCAGCUAUAAGGGACUAGUUAAAACUGUUGCAUUGUCAUAUCGUGGAAAUGAUGCAGCUAAUAAAGAGAAGGAGGUACAUCUAUCUGUAUGUUUGGAUGUAUAAUGAUGUCUGUGAUGUAUUAAGCACAAAACGAUAUAUACCUGUGUAUAGCAUGAUCCUGUCUUUGUAAGAAAGUGUACGUGCUUAUGGAGAUGCGUAGAAAAAGUGAGGCAAUAUAAGGCCAAAGUAGUAAGUGUGAUAUCGGAGUGGUGGCUGAGGGUGAAGGAAACUAGGAUCUUCCACUUCCUGCUAAGUUACUGUUUGGGAAUUUUCAUUUAAAUUUCUAAAAAUGAUUUGAGCACACAAGGCAAUACAAGUUUGUUAUAACAUUUUCAACCCUAGGAGUGUUCGAAACAGAAAGUGAGGCAAGGAGGUAGACAGGCAGAUGGUCAAAGGGGUACCUGAAGAGUUCCCCUUCCUUCUUUACCAGAGGCGGGGCACCCACUGCUGUGGGCCUUAGCAACUCCUGCUGCUCGAAGGGACAUGCACCCUCCUUGGGUGCAAAAACGAGGCACAAAGGGUGGUGCACGCCUCCCGGAGGCCCAGCGUACUGCUCUGCUCCCCACAGCCAAUGCGCCAGGACAGUUCCUCGCAGGUUCGCUGCUCCAUGACGUGAGUCCUAAUUCAGGGUUCAAGCUCUCUAGAUGGCUCCACUUGCAGAGAUUCUUCUCAAGGCUUUAGAAGGUCUCACUGUGUGCUCUGUGAGCUCCGGUAGACAGCUCAAGGGCUAGUGGCCUCCCACGGGCAUGCUCACCUGAAGAGCCCAUUGCUAUCUAUUUUGCACACCAAGGCUCUGCACAGGGCUCUGUCUGAACAGUAGGGUUCCACGUUCCCGAGACUAAAAUAGCCGUCAACUGGACAACUGUUAGAAAGCUUUAAAAUGGCUCAGAAUUAAGAUGCUGGUUGCUCAUUGUUGGCAAGAGAAAAAAAAAAACUGGAAAGAGUGCAAAUAUUUUUCAAUAGGAGUUUAGGACAAAAAUGGAGGGGGGAGUGGGAGAAAUAAUUUAUAGCACUUCCAAAAAGAAAAGGAAAUGAAAUAGAACACUUAACAGCCGUUACAAUGAGGUAGAUUUUUAUAUACUGACAUGGGUAAGUGGGGAGGGGCGGCAGGGGAAAGACCAAGAUCUACUGGUAAGUGAAAAAAGCAAAUUGAGAAACAUUGUGGAAGACACAAUCCAUUCUUAAGGGUGGUGGGACUGCAUGUAUAUAUAAUAUAGAGAGAUGGGGAGGGAAGGAAAGCGGAUGAGAGAGCAUGAGAACGAAUAUUUCUAAAUGGAGAAAAAAGUUAAGACAACUAUCCAAAUUGUUAACAAUGGCUAUUUUUUGGAAGGGAGGAAACAGAUUACUGGUGACUUUUAUUUUGAGGCUUUUUACGUUUAAGUUCUACAUUUAUUUGUGGGAAUUUUUUCAAAUGAGCAUAUACUUUUUUUUUUCAUAAAAAUCAUUAAGAUUUAGAAUAACGUCCAGGUUGCCUGUUUCUCAGUGGGAAACAGGACAGUACCCCCAAUCACCCUCUGUACAAGAGAACAUAAACUCAGACCGGAACUAUCACCUCUGAGAGUAAGGUCAUCCUUGUGUGUCCCUGGCAUUGUCAAUACAGAAUUAGACUCAGUACAUGAAUCCUAAGAGACAGUCAAGAAGCAAUAACCCACCAUCAGAGGCAGUUUUUGGUUUCUUCAAUAAUGCAUUAGGUCAGUGCUAACGGAAAUCUUUACUAUGCUUCGGAGUCCUAAACUCCCAGGACUAAACAAGAGCUCAGAAGUAAUUUGCCCCACUCCCAAAAGACCUCAGGGAAAUCACAUGCCCUCCUGGAAAACGGAGAUGGACAGCUCCUAGGCCAGGGAACUCUAGGAAAGGAAACCUCACAAUUUCUUAGGACAAAACGUCACAAGAGGGCGAAAGAUUCCCUCUGGUCCCUUGAAUAUACUUGAUUAAAGCAGGAUUCUGGUUACACUCUCUCCGUAUUGCUGAACAUCUUUACCAAUCUUCAACAUUUCCCAUCUCUAGGUAAGUUGAGGUUUGGAGUGGCAAUAGCAGUAUAAUGGAUACUAUUUAUAGAUGUAACACCGGGACAGAGCCCACUACCUCAAACUUUGUAUUUUGGAGUGAAUGUUAAAGUCCUCCCUAUGUCCCCAAAUUCGUAUGUUGAAAUCCUACCCUCUCCCCACUACCCAAGGUGGUUAUUAGGAGGCGGGGACUUGGUGGUGAUGAGAUCAUGGGGGUGGAGCCCUCACGAAUGGGAUUAGUGCCCUUAUGAGAGAGGCUCCAGAGAAUGUCCUCACCCCUUCCACAUGGGAGCACGCAGUAAGAAGAUGGCUGCCUAUGAACCAAGAAAGUCCUCACCAGACACUGAAUCUCCUGGAAGCUUGAUCUUGGAAUUCUAGCCUCCAGGACUGUGAGCAACAAAUGUCCAUCCCUGAAGCCACGCCAUCUGUGGUAUUUCUGUUGCAGCGGGCUGAACUCCACUCUGCAAUCAAGAUGCACCAUCAUCUUGUUGGGGGCAAGAUGCACCAUCAUCUUGUUGUGGGGGGGGGUUGCCUUUUGGGUAAAGCCUCAUGGGCCAAAUGGCUGAGUUAUUAUCCACAGGUGAGUUAACCCCAGAGAUUUAAUGCUGUUUAUUACUAAACUGUGUUUCUGUAAUAGACCAUUAUUACAGCAGAUAAGUUUGAGGAUUUAAGGGGCCACUGUUUUGAUAAUAUGUAUACGAAUAAGAUUUUAUAAAAAAUAUGAGUGCCUAAAAAUAAUUAAAUACUUUAUUCUCAAAUGCUUACUUGUUAUCAAUGACAGCUGAAUCUAACCUUGAUUUUGCCAUCUGGUUUAUGCAGAAAGCCCUUCCAUUCACGGAGUAUCAGUGCAUUGUGAAAAGUCUACUGUGGUCAUAGAAAUGAUUUCUCGGUUCCAAUAUGCCAUCCACAUACCCGACUCCUGUCUUUGGGGUAAUGCACAGUCAACAAACG